rnacentral:rRNA from 1 species
UACGGGGGGAGCAAGCGUUGUUCGGAUUUACUGGGCGUAAAGGGCGCGUAGGCGGCCACCGCAAGUCGACUGUGAAAUCUCCGGGCUUAACCCGGAAAGGUCAGCCGAUACUGCGGGGCUAGAGUGCAGAAGGGGCAACUGGAAUUCUCGGUGUAGCGGUGAAAUGCGUAGAUAUCGGGAGGAACACCAGUGGCGAAGGCGGCUUUCUGGUCUGCUCUUGACGCUGAGGCGCGAAAGCUAGGGUAGCAAACAGG